rnacentral:rRNA from 1 species
AGGUCAAGCUAAUAAGGGCUAACGGUGGAUACCUAGGCACACGGAAGCGAAGAAGGACGUAGUUACCGACGAAACGCUUCGGGGAGCGGGAAGCAAGCAUUGAUCCGAAGAUAUCCGAAUGGGGCAACCCUAAACACGACCACCUGAAUACAUAGGGUGGAGCGAGCAAACCUGGUGAACUGAAACAUCUUAGUAGCCAGAGGAAAAGAAAGCAACAGCGAUUCCCCCAGUAGCGGCGAGCGAAAAGGGAACAGCCUAAACCAAGUUCUUCGGAACUUGGGGUCGUGGGACAGUGACAAAAGACUGGGAAAUUUAGACGAAGCGGCUGAAAACCGCACCAGAGAGGGUGAAAGUCCUGUAGUCGAAAAAGGAACCAGCUUAACUGCAUCCCGAGUAGCAUGGGGCACGUGAAAUCCCGUGUGAAUCUGCCUCGACCACGAGGUAAGGCUAAAUAUUCCCGUGUGACCGAUAGAGAAACAGUACCGCGAGGGAAAGGUGAAAAGAACCCCGGAAGGGGAGUGAAAUAGAACAUGAAACCGUUAGCCUACAAGCAAUGGGAGGACGAUUGAACGUCUGACCGUGUGCCUGUUGAAGAAUGAGCCGGCGACUUACAGGUUAUGGCAGGUGAAGGGGGAAGACCCCACAGCCCCAGCGAAAGCGAGUCUGAAUAGGGCGAAGCGUCAUAAUUUGUAGACCCGAACCCGGGUGAUCUAACCAUGGCCAGGAUGAAGCUUGGGUAAAACCAAGUGGAGGUCCGAACCGACUAAUGUUGAAAAAUUAGCGGAUGAGCUGUGGUUAGGGGUGAAAUGCCAAUCGAACUCGGAGCUAGCUGGUUCUCCCCGAAAUGUGUUGAGGCGCAGCGGUAGUGGAAGUUUAGUCGGGGUAAAGCACUGUUUCGCCGCGGGCUGGGAGACCGGUACCAAGGCGAGGCAAACUCUGAAUACGGCUAAAAAAACUACCAGUGAGACGGUGGGGGAUAAGCUUCAUCGUCAAGAGGGAAACAGCCCAGACCACCAGCUAAGGUCCCCAAAUGAUAACUAAGUGAGAAAGGAGGUGGGAGUGCAUUGACAACCAGGAGGUUUGCCUAGAAGCAGCAAUCCUUAAAAGAGUGCGUAAUAGCUCACUGGUCAAGCGCUCCUGCGCCGAAAAUGAACGGGGCUAAGUUAUCUACCGAAGCUGUGGACUACAUUGUAGUGGUAGGGGAGCGUUCUAUAGGGGGUGAAGCAGUAGCGGCAAGCAGCUGUGGACUCUAUAGAAGUGAGAAUGUCGGCUUAAGUAGCGAAAAUGUGGGUGAGAAUCCCACACCCCGAAACCCCAAGGUUUCCUCCGCAAGGCUCGUCCGCGGAGGGUCAGUCAGGACCUAAGGCGAGGCUGAAAAGCGUAGUCGAUGGACAACGGGUUAACAUUCCCGUACCGAUUAAUGAUUGUGCCGGAGAACGGAGAAGGUCAACGUCAGCUGGAUGUUGGUUACCAGUGCAAGCAGUCGAGGCGAUGAGAGGUGGUGAAAACACCAGGAGCUAAGACGCGAGUCCCACCUCCCACGGGAGGGAAGUGGCGCUGAUCAAGCUUCCUAGAAAAGCCCGAACCACGUUAAUCAUUAAUUGCCUGUACCCGAAACCGACACAGGUGGGGAAGUAGAGAAUACUAAGGGGCGCGAGAUAACUCUCUCUAAGGAACUCGGCAAAAUGACCCCGUAACUUCGGGAGAAGGGGUACCCUCGCAAGAGGGUCGCAGUGAAUAGGCCCAGGCGACUGUUUACCAAAAACACAGGUCUCCGCCAAGUCGUAAGACGCAGUAUGGAGGCUGACGCCUGCCCAGUGCCGGAAGGUUAAGGAAGUUGGUCAGGAGUAAUCUGAAGCUGACGACCGAAGCCCCGGUGAACGGCGGCCGUAACUAUAACGGUCCUAAGGUAGCGAAAUUCCUUGUCGGGUAAGUUCCGACCCGCACGAAAGGCGUAACGAUCUGGGCACUGUCUCGGAGAGAGACUCGGCGAAAUAGGAUUGUCUGUGAAGAUACGGACUACCUGCACCUGGACAGAAAGACCCUAUGAAGCUUUACUGUAGCCUGGAAUUGGCUUCGGGCUUCGCUUGCGCAGGAUAGGUGGGAAGCUUUGAAACUCUCCUCGUGGGGAGGGUGGAGCUAACGGUGAGAUACCACUCUGGCGAGGCUAGAAUUCUAACCCUGACCCCUAAUCGGGGCGGGAGACAGUUUCAGGUGGGCAGUUUGACUGGGGCGGUCGCCUCCUAAAAGGUAACGGAGGCGCGCAAAGGUUCCCUCGGUCCCGUUGGAAAUGGGACGAUAGAGUGCAAAAGCAGAAGGGAGCUUGACUGUGAGACCCACAAGUCGAACAGGGACGAAAGUCGGCUUUAGUGAUCCGACGGCACCGCGUGGAAGGGCCGUCGCUCAACGGAUAAAAGUUACUCUAGGGAUAACAGGCUGAUCUCCCCCAAGAGUUCACAUCGACGGGGAGGUUUGGCACCUCGAUGUCGGCUCAUCGCAACCUGGGGCUGAAGUCGGUCCCAAGGGUUGGGCUGUUCGCCCAUUAAAGCGGUACGUGAGCUGGGUUCAGAACGUCGUGAGACAGUUCGGUCCAUAUCCGGUGUAGGCGUAAGAGCAUUGCGAGGAGCCUUCCUUAGUACGAGAGGACCGGGAAGGACGCACCGCUGGUGUACCUGUUAUCGUGCCAACGGUAAACGCAGGGUAGCCAUGUGCGGAGCGGAUAACCGCUGAAAGCAUCUAAGUGGGAAGCCCACCUCCAGAUGAUUGCUCUCAUGGCAUUAAGCCAGUAAGGUCUCGGGUAGACUACCCGUUGAUAGGCUCUAGAUGGAAGCUCGGUAACGAGUGCAGUCGAGGAGUACUAACCGACCGAGGGCUUGACCUG